CAGGGGUCUUUUCAAACAUAGACAAUCAUGGGAUAUUAAACUUGAAGGACAAUAGAGAUCAUCUAGUCCCAUCAACUCACUAUAUAUAUGAGGAACCUGAGGUCCAGAGUGGGGAUGUGUCCUACCCAAGGUCACAUGGUUUCAGAGAAAUUAUGUUGAAUCCAAUAAGCCUUUCCGGACAUUCCAAGCCUCUUAACCAUGGCAUCUAUGUUGAGGAUGUCAAUGUUUAUUUCAGCAAAGGACGUCAUGGCUUUUAAAAAAAACAAAACAAACAAACAAACAAAAAAACAAAAAAAAACUUCUUUUAUGUCUCCUUGUUCUGAUGUCACCUUGGUAGGAUGGGCCCUCUGAGAGGUUGGAAGCACUAGGCGUUGCUCUUUUUGGAUCCAGGGAUGCUAAUUAGAAACUGCAUGAGCCACCAGUGCUCCCACACCCUUUAUCAACACUGAGAUGGGUGUGUCUCCCAUCGACCACUGGCAGGUUGCCCCUCCCUCCUGUCAUCACUGUGCUCCUUUUCCUCCGGCCUCCGAGGCAACUCCUGCCAACGUCUUUAGAGCCAAUAAAGAAAAUCCAAACCCAAGCACCAGGAGCUACCUUUUAAACACA
rnacentral:lncRNA from 1 species